UUCUUUCCUCCCGAGUGCUUGCACUCAAUUGGAAAGAGGAGUGGCGGACGGGUGAGUAACACGUGGGUAACCUACCCAUCAGAGGGGGAUAACACUUGGAAACAGGUGCUAAUACCGCAUAACAGUUUAUGCCGCAUGGCAUAAGAGUGAAAGGCGCUUUCGGGUGUCGCUGAUGGAUGGACCCGCGGUGCAUUAGCUAGUUGGUGAGGUAACGGCUCACCAAGGCCACGAUGCAUAGCCGACCUGAGAGGGUGAUCGGCCACACUGGGACUGAGACACGGCCCAGACUCCUACGGGAGGCAGCAGUAGGGAAUCUUCGGCAAUGGACGAAAGUCUGACCGAGCAACGCCGCGUGAGUGAAGAAGGUUUUCGGAUCGUAAAACUCUGUUGUUAGAGAAGAACAAGGACGUUAGUAACUGAACGUCCCCUGACGGUAUCUAACCAGAAAGCCACGGCUAACUACGUGCCAGCAGCCGCGGUAAUACGUAGGUGGCAAGCGUUGUCCGGAUUUAUUGGGCGUAAAGCGAGCGCAGGCGGUUUCUUAAGUCUGAUGUGAAAGCCCCCGGCUCAACCGGGGAGGGUCAUUGGAAACUGGGAGACUUGAGUGCAGAAGAGGAGAGUGGAAUUCCAUGUGUAGCGGUGAAAUGCGUAGAUAUAUGGAGGAACACCAGUGGCGAACGCGGCUCUCUGGUCUGUAACUGACGCUGAGGCUCGAAAGCGUGGGGAGCAAACAGGAUUAGAUACCCUGGUAGUCCACGCCGUAAACGAUGAGUGCUAAGUGUUGGAGGGUUUCCGCCCUUCAGUGCUGCAGCAAACGCAUUUAAGCACUCCGCCUGGGGAGUACGACCGCAAGGUUGAAACUCAAAGGAAUUGACGGGGGCCCGCACAAGCGGUGGAGCAUGUGGUUUAAUUUCGAAAGCAACGCGAAGAACCUUUACCAGGUCUUGAACAUCCUUUGACCACUCUAGAG
rnacentral:rRNA from 1 species